AGUGAACGCUGGCGGCAGGCCUAACACAUGCAAGUCGAACGGCAGCACAAGAGGGCUUGCUCUCUGGGUGGCGAGUGGCGGACGGGUUAGGAAUGCAUCGGAAUCUGCCCAUUUGUGGGGGAUAACCUCGGGAAACCGGGACUAAUACCGCAUACGACCUACGGGUGAAAGCAGGGGAUCUUCGGACCUUGCGCAGAUGGAUGAGCCGAUGCCGGAUUAGCUAGUUGGAGGGGUAACGGCCCACCAAGGCGACGAUCCGUAACUGGUCCGAGCGGAUGAUCAGCCACACUGGGACUGAGACACGGCCCAGACUCCUACGGGAGGAAGCAGCGGGGAAUAUUGGACAAUGGGCGAAAGCCUGAUCCAGCCAUGCCGCGUGUGUGAAGAAGGCCUUCGGGUUGUAAAGCACUUUUGUUGGGAAAGAAAAGCAGCCGGUUAAUACCCGGUUGUCAUGACGGUACCCAAAGAAUAAGCACCGGCUAACUUCGUG
rnacentral:rRNA from 1 species